rnacentral:misc_RNA from 1 species
GAUGAAGAACGUAGCGAAAUGCGAUAAGUAAUGUGAAUUGCAGAAUUCAGUGAAUCAUCGAAUCUUUGAACGCACAUUGCGCCCGCCAGUAUUCUGGCGGGCAUGCCUGUCCGAGCGUCAUUUCAACCCUCGAACCCCUCCGGGGGGUCGGCGUUGGGGAUCGGCCCUUUCACCGGGUGCCGGCCCCUAAAUACAGUGGCGGUCUCGCCGCAGCCUCUCAUGCGCAGUAGUUUGCACACUCGCACCGGGAGCGCGGCGCGUCCUCGUCCGUAAAACACCCCAAACUUCUGAAAUGUUGACCUCGGAUCAGGUAGGAAUACCCGCUGAACUUAAGCACAUCAAUAAGCGGAGGA